rnacentral:rRNA from 1 species
AAUAGAUACCCCGGUAGUCCACGCCGUAAACGAUGAGUGCUAAGUGUUGGAGGGUUUCCGCCCUUCAGUGCUGCAGCAAACGCAUUAAGCACUCCGCCUGGGGAGUACGACCGCAAGGUUGAAACUCAAAGGAAUUGACGGGGGACCCGCACAAGCGGUGGAGCAUGUGGUUUAAUUCGAAGCAACGCGAAGAACCUUACCAGGUCUUGACAUCCUUUGACCGUCCUAGAGAUAGGAUUUUCCCUUCGGGGACAAAGUGACAGGUGGUGCAUGGUUGUCGUCAGCUCGUGUCGUGAGAUGUUGGGUUAAGUCCCGCAACGAGCGCAACCCUUAUUGUUAGUUGCCAUCAUUCAGUUGGGCACUCUAGCGAGACUGCCGCAGACAAUGCGGAGGAAGGUGGGGAUGACGUCAAAUCAUCAUGCCCCUUAUGACCUGGGCUACACACGUGCUACAAUGGAGAGUACAACGAGUCGCAAAGCCGCGAGGCUAAGCCAAUCUCUUAAAGCUCUUCUCAGUUCGGAUUGU